AUACUUUCCUGGCAGGGGAGAUCCCAUGAUCACAAAGGUGCUUUAUCCAGGGCCAUGCUUAUCUAUUGCCCUCCAGAUGUGCUGACCCCUGCAAUUUCCCCAAAUGUGGGAAACUCGACUGCAUAAUCUGUGGUAGUGGGAGACUGUGUUCAUUACACUGU